rnacentral:lncRNA from 1 species
UGCUGUCCUGCUAUCUGCAUUGGCUGCCUUGGCUCCCCUGCUUGCAAGUUCUUCUUCAACCUCGCUCAACAGCAGCUUCUCUUCCUUGGGUGUGGAUUACUGUGUCUUGAAGAGACUCUUCGUUUGGUGUUCUUAGCGCAGCAGGUGGGUCGUGCUGAGAAUCUCCCAUGGUGACCUGGAAGCUUGUACCAAUCCUUGCUCAGGGGAGCAUUGCCACUUGCCAACGGUACGGCGCCCUUCGAUCCAGGGCGAGGGGCAGGGGUCCCCUUCGGAAGUGGAGAGGGUCAAUACGAGAACGGCGUUCACCUAUCGAAGUAGAUGAGGGCAUGUCCAUCUUUGCUGGGCUGUAACUCCCCCUGAAGUUUGCUCUCUGUCAGGGUUAUGGUGCUCCACUCGCGCAUUGAAGGGCUUCGGCAAUAUCAAGCUAGUCUGUACUGUUUAUUUCCUGUUUGCUUGUUCGUGUUGGGGCUAGUAGGUUGUUUCGGGCAUCACCUUGUAUCUGCCGUCUUUUUUUUGUUUUCCUUUUUUUGCUUGUUUGCUAUGCUUCGUUGUAAUUGCGGGUGUUUGUAUCUCCUGGCCGGUUGUUGGCUUUGUUAAUUCAAAGCCGGGCUCUUCUUGAGCCUUCGUUCUAAUAAAAAAAAGGUAACA